rnacentral:rRNA from 1 species
AUUGACGCUUGGCGGCAGGCCUAGCACAAUGCCAGUCGAGCGGAAACGAUGGGGGCUUGCUCCCAGGCGUCGAGCGGCGGACGGGUGAGUAACACGUGGGAAUCUGCCCAUUAGUGGGGGAUAACUCGGGGAAACUCGAGCUAAUACCGCAUAAUCCCUACGGGGGAAAGCAGGGGAUCUUCGGACCUUGCGCUGAUGGAUGAGCCCGCGUCGGAUUAGCUUGUUGGUGGGGUAAUGGCCCACCAAGGCGACGAUCCGUAACUGGUCUGAGAGGAUGGCCAGUCACACCGGGACUGAGACACGGCCCGGACUCCUACGGGAGGCAGCAGUGGGGAAUCUUGGACAAUGGGCGCAAGCCUGAUCCAGCCAUGCCGCGUGUGUGAAGAAGGCCUUCGGGUUGUAAAGCACUUUCAGUAGGGAGGAAGGCUUUGGGCUAAUACCCUGGAGUACUUGACGUUACCUACAGAAGAAGCACCGGCUAAUUUCGUGCCAGCAGCCGCGGUAAUACGAAAGGUGCGAGCGUUAAUCGGAAUUACUGGGCGUAAAGCGCGCGUAGGCGGUGUGUUACGUCGGAUGUGAAAGCCCAGGGCUUCACCUUGGAAUUGCAUCCGAUACUGGCACGCUAGAGUGCAGUAGAGGGAGGUGGAAUUUCCGGGUGUAGCGGUGGAAUGCGUAGAGAUCGGAAGGACCACCCUUGGCGAGUGCGGCCUCCUGGACUGACACUGACGCUGAAGGUGCAAAG